GGAGCUGCCUGCUUCAGGCCUCAGAAUCACUCUUGGAGUUAGAUAUUUAAGAAUCCUUCCUGCCUUGACAGCCAGUCUGUGAAAUGAUGGUGAGGUGGGCACUUCUUCGUGGUGAGUGCAGAUCUGGAUGGAGAUUUGUGAAGGCAAGGAGAUUGAAGACAUGUCCUCAUAAGAGGGAGAAAAUCUGAGCUGGUUCCAGGAAUUCUGGGGAGACAUUGCCAAGGAAUUUUACUGGAAGACUCCAUGCCCUGGCCCAUUCCUUCGGUACAACUUUGAUGUGACUAAAGGGAAAAUCUUCAUUGAGUGGAUGAAAGGAGCAACUACCAACAUCUGCUACAAUGUACUGGAUCGAAAUGUCCAUGAGAAAAAGCUUGGAGAUAAAUUUGCUUUUUACUGGUAAAAA
rnacentral:sRNA from 1 species